UACGGUGAAUACGUUCCCGGACCUUGUACACACCGCCCGUCAAGCCAUGGAAGCCGGGUGUACCUAAAGUCGAUAACCGUAAGGAGUCGCCUAGGGUAAACUGGUGACUGGGGCU
rnacentral:rRNA from 1 species